AAUCCCACCCCUCCCGUGCGAUUCCUACGUCGCUCUCCCGUGCCUCUCGCCCCUCCCGUAUGGUUCCCAUAAUCCCACGUCGCCCUCCCGUGCCUCCCCUCCCCUUCCGAGCUCUCCCCCUCCGCCACGCUCGACGUCACGGCUUUCGCGUGCCUCCCCUCCCCUCCCGAUUAGGAUAUGCAGACCUCGCCACCAUCUGCGAACAGAUGGCCGGCAUCGAGGGUGUGGAAGACCACCACGAGGCGCUACCCUAGACGCCGUCGAUUGCACCCAACGACACCAAGGAGAAACCUGUACGCCACUGCCGUAUACGUCGUCGGCCUGCAGGCCGGUGAGAUCAAGGAGGAAGAUCGUCUUCAGACUGAGGGAGGUGAGAAGUGAAACCCUAAAACAGAGUGUCUAGGCAACGAUCCUACCUCCUGCUGACUAGACGACGUGGGAUGCACCGCGACGACAGCAAGGAAAAACCCCCACGGCGACGACACCAGGGAAAAACCUCCACGCCGUCGGUCUGCACCCCGGCCAGACCAAGAAGAAAGAACGUCUGGACCCUGAGGGAGAGUUAGGUAAGGAUUGCUCCAAUCAGCCCAUACACCAUACUGUUGCCCAGCAAAAAAAAAGAUUUAUUGCCCAAAUUCGACUCGUGGUGCAGCAUCCUGAUCAGGGAUAGACCGCGCGUGAAGGCGAGCUGGAUCGAAUCAAGCCUAACUAGGUCAAACAUUGAUUCUACUUGCCGCUGCAUUGUAAAUUUGAAUCUCCUGGUCAUUUUGCUAGAUUAAUUAUGUGUUUAUACGUGACUUUGUUGGACCAUUGAGCUAUUCUGGUUUUCAGUAGUGCAAUAGAGGAACAGAGGAGGGGGAACCUCAUUGGUUAAUGCCUGCAAGACUUGUAGUUCUGUACGUUUCUCGAUUAAUGUGUUCGAUAGAAAGAAAAAUCAGAGCUUACGUUAUUAUUGUGCUAUUGGCUAGCUAUAGUUCUGUUUCUGGGUCUACUCAUAGUUAGAUCUUUUUAUAUAUAGUUAGAAAACAGUAUACCUAAAGAUAUUUGGUAAAAUGCAUGUAGAAUGGAAUGGACCUAUAUGGUGGCUGCAAUAUGUAAUUAGUAGUGGAUAGUCAUCCUUUAUUGAGAAUUUAUAUUAGGUUUCUAGAACAUAAUAUUAGGCGUCAGGUGUUGUGCUAUGGGAGUGCGCUGCACUUUGAUUAGUGGAGCCAAUCAAAUUAAGGUGAUGAAUCUAUAUUUCUGUAACACUGAAUUCAGAAGCAGAAGAUACAUGUUGUUUAUGCAUAUUGCUGCUCACUCACUUCACUCACCAUGAGGUGAUGUUCUUGGCUGUUUAACUAAUAUGGCUAUUACAAUGUGAGUGAUUUUCAUAAAUUACUCUUUUAAGCUUUGAUUGGUGAGUGAAGUGAGAUCUGAAAGUGUAAGUGUGGAGUUAUCUGCCAAGUUUGAUAACCUACGAAUGCCUUGUCAUUUGCAUCUUCCAUGAUAUUAUGCAUGUCAGUAGAAAAUUUGAUCGAAAGUAUCAGUCUAUCACUGUCUGAAAUAAAUGGAAGAGAAUGAAGGUUUGUUAUGUUACUGAAAUGAUCGAACAGCAUGGUAGUUAGUCUCAUUAAACUGCUACUACUGUAAUAUGAAAAGGUGAUAAGGAUACUCCCAUCUCUCUUACUUUGCAAUGCAUUACCAAUUCCCUUUCUAAAUUUAGUGACCAAUAAAUGGGUCAUGCCCAUGCCUUUUUUUCAGAUCUAGCGAUAGUCAUUAUCCUGGGAAAUAAGAACCUAGCUAAUGUAAAUAAAUUUAUUGAAGACCAUUGUUGGUUUAUUUUUUCUACUAUGUCCUUCUCGUUGUUUGUGACUUGUAUAUUUGUCUCCUCCUAGGUGUUCAAGUGGGCUCGGUUUCCAGAACCAUAUAGUAGCUGAACCAUAUAGUCUUGAGAUUGUUUCUGGUUUUAUCACAAGUUUGAUUAGCGGCAUCCACUGACACUGUUGAAUUCAUUUUGUUUGCGUCCUGUUCAGAGGUGCCGGACUGCCAAUUGCCAUUCCCACAAGGUGGUUCUGUGGGUUUUAAGAGGUAUGGGUAAAUCUAGACGAUCACCCUUCAGGGAUGUAUCAAACACAAUUGGAUCAGGUAACCAAGAACCUCAUGUCCCGAGUCCACAAGCAACAGAUCCAAAGGAGGCAAAAAGAUCUAAACACAGCUAAAGAGGAUACCCACUGGCUGCAUCGCAAUGAAUCUUAUGAACCGGUGGUCACGCGGGGCGCAGACGAGCUUGGGGCUCUGAGGAUAGAAGAGAACAAUGUGAUGCCACUUUUAGGUGUCACUCUGGACAUCCCCAGGUAUGGAGAAUUGACAUUUGCAGGUGACUUAACACCCAAUGAGACAGUUGGUACUCGGGACAUUCCCGGCCUUGGAUUGACUUUUGCAAAUAAUGGCAUAGCACCUAAUGAAUCAUGUGGAUCUCAGGUCAUCCCUGAGAUUGCCGAUUUGACUUAUAUCAGAUGUGGAAAAAAACCUGAUGAUGCAGGAGAUAAUAUUUGGAACAGACAACCCCGGGAAUCGUGUCACAGAGAAAGUAUCGCUUAGGACAACACAGGUACGUCUAACUUACUACACAGAUAUGUUUGUGUAUGACGGGGGACAAAUAAAUUAAAUUAUUGUUAUAAUUUUAGAAUUUCAUGCACCAGUUGAAAAUCAAGUGGUUGAUCCUAAUGAACACCGUCGUGAGAGGGCUAGAGCGCGAAGGGCAGCAAUGACUGCCAAGCAGAGAGAUAUAAUUAAUAAGCGUUGUCGAGAUGCAUAUCAUGCACACAAAGAGCCUAAGAAGACUAUGUCUGCCGAGGAGAAAAAGAAGAAAGUUAGUGAAAUAAAAAGAGCAUCACGAUGAAGAAAUAAAGAUAUUAGGUCCGAUACAUUGCACCCUGACUCUAUCGCAAUGGAGAACCCACACUUUGAGCCUACACCCCUUGAUAAACCACUAAGCGCAUGUGACUGGGAGAUCCCAGUUGUAAAAAGCACACCUGUUUACAUUCACGCAACCCUAGAGGACCCCCCUCACGAAGCUGAUCCGCCGAUCCUCGUUGGAAGAAAAAGGUGUUCCCAACAUGUUACCCCUGGCGUGAAGGGUAAACUUUGUUCUUUGCGAAUUAAACAGAUUGAGUCAACAAUUGGAUAGAGUAUGGAUAGAUCUCAUGAAUAAACAAGGUGUGAUCCACAGCCGACAAACGAAUCAGCUAUAACUAAUGCUUGUAAAACCUAUUUCUGAUAGAGUUAUUUUCCAACUCAAACACAUUGUCACAUAUCCAAUGUUACCGAUUUUAUUUUUUUACACCAAAGGAACCAAUACGACUGCAAAUAAAGAUCCUAUGCCCAACAACCCCUCUAAAACAUAUGCUCAUUACGCUGGCUCAACAAAUAAUACACAUGAUGCGGUUGACGAGAUGCAGCCAGGCAUGGUGGAGGAUGGUAAGUUUUAUGGACUCUUGAAUUCCACAUCACCCCUUUGUACUAAAAAAAUGGUGAGUGUGAUCGUGAGUCUAAUUAUUUCAUCGCAGAUAGUGAUGAGGAUAUCAUAUUUGAGGAUGAUGAUGAAGAGGACAAGGGGUACCUAUUUGCAGGACAAAAUGAUGCUGACGAAGAUGAUGAGGUUGAUAUUGGUGAUGAUGACCUUAAUGUGAUAGAGGUUCCA